GAGACCGCAGGAUGACGGCCAGGCUAACAACCUUGCCCGACUCGCGGAGAGGAGGUGCAUGGCCGUCGCCAGCUCGUGUUGUGAAAUGUCCGGUUAAGUCCGGCAACGAGCGAGACCCCCACCCCUAGUUGGUAUCACGGGCUCCGGCCCGUGACCACACUAGGGGGACUGCCGGCGUAAGCCGGAGGAAGGAGGGGGCCACGGCAGGUCAGCAUGCCCCGAAACCCCCGGGUCGACGCGGGUUACAAUGGCAGGGACAGCGGGAUGCUACCCCGAAAGGGGGAGCCAAUCCCCCAAACCCUGCCGCAGUUGGGAUCGAGGGCUGGAACCCGCCCUCGUGAACGAGGAAUCCCUAGUAACCGCGGGUCAACAACCCGCGGUGAAUACGUCCCUGCUCCUUGUACACACCGCCCGU
rnacentral:rRNA from 1 species